rnacentral:rRNA from 1 species
AGCAGUAGCCGCGGGAAAACGAAGGGUGCAAGCGUUACUCGGAAUUACUGGGCGUAAAGCGUGCGUAGGUGGUGGUUUAAGUCCGUUGUGAAAGCCCUGGGCUCAACCUGGGAAUUGCAGUGGAUACUGGGUCACUAGAGUGUGGUAGAGGAUAGUGGAAUUUCCGGUGUAGCAGUGAAAUGCGUAGAGAUCGGAAGGAACAUCUGUGGCGAAGGCGACUAUCUGGGCCAACACUGACACUGAGGCACGAAAGCGUGGGGAGCAAACAGGAUUAGAUACCCCUGUAGUCCCUGUCUCUUAUAA